rnacentral:tRNA from 1 species
GUGCGCGUGGCUCAGUGGUUAGGGCCUAAGGCCUGGGAGCGAAAAGUCCCGCGUUCGAGUCUCGCAAGGGACA